ACGGGGUCUGGCCUCCUGAAGGGUCCCUGGGUCUGGCCUCCUGAGGGUCCCCGGGUCUGGCCUCCUGAGGGUCCCCGGGUCUGGCCUCCUGAAGGUCCUUGGGUCUGGCCUCCUGAGGGUCCCCGGGUCUGGCCUCCUGAAGGUCCCUGGGUCUGGCCUCCUGAGGGUCCCCGGGUCUGGCCUCCUGAAGGUCCCUGGGGUCUGGCCUCCUGAGGGUCCCCGGGUCUGGCCUCCUGAAGGUCCCUGAGUCUGGCCUCCUGAGGGUCCCCGGGUUACGGCUCGCUCUCUGUUAGCUAAUGCACUGCUCAGGGCAGCUCCAUUAGCCUCGACGAUAAUGAAACCACAUCUGAUAAUGAAACAACAUCUGAUAUGCAAAUGUGCGCAGGCAGGCAGGCACGCACACUCGCGCACACUCACAGAUAUGCACACAUAAACACACAGACACUGCAGAGAGACACACAGGGCUGCACACAUAAAACACACACUGCACACACACAGGAAUAUUAAUGGGGUAGUUCAGAGUUUUGGACAUAGGGCCUGAUUCCCAAGUUAGCCUUGGUGUUCUUUAUCAUUGGAGACCGUUUUCAACACAAAACCAACCUUGCGUUGCGUUGCAUUUCGAGGGACUUGCUGUGUCUCAGCAGCAGUGUUAUACUCCUGGUAGUAGGCUACGGCAGCGGCGGACUGAUACCUAAGUUAAAUUCCGCUGCUGCUGUGAAAGUAGUCCCUCAAAAUGCGAUGAUUCAUGCGAUGCGAGGUUAGUUUUAUUUCUAACAUUAUUCUUCAACACAGACAUUUACAUCUACAGUCUGGCGUUAUAAUUGAUUUACCUCGGGUGUACUGUGGAGUGGGUCAGACUGUUUUAUCAGCAGGCUAGCAUUGCCCGUUGCCGUGCGCUAGCCUAGCACGAGCGAACUCUGCAACUAGAAGGACUGAAUGAUAUGUGUUGAAAACUGUCUCCAAUGAUAAAGAACACCAAGGGCUAACUUGGCAAUCAGGCCCUACCCCUUUAUCGCUUUAUUCUGAUGUUUCCUCCAACACACCUACCGGUUCGUCUGGAGCAGUGUUGGCAGGUGUGUGUAGGUAUAGGUGUGAGAUGUGUGUUGGUCUGGAUUUGAUUGGUUAGAGUCACAGGAGAGCCUGCCUGAAUCAGCUCCCAUCAUGGGAGGUGACCAGGGAGGGCGUGCGUGCAUGAGAGAGAGAGAGAGAGAGAGAGAGAGAGAGAGAGAGAGAGAGAGAGAGAGAGAGAGAGAGAGAGAGAGAGAGAGAGAGAGAGAGAGAGAGAGAGAGAGAGAGAGAGAGAGAGAGAGAGAGAGAGAGAGAGAGA